rnacentral:misc_RNA from 1 species
AAGUCGUAACAAGGUUUCCGUAGGUGAACCUGCGGAAGGAUCAUUCACACGUAUCCACGUUUCACACCCGUGAACUUGUUUUCCCUUCUCGCUGCAGCUGCCUCGUCGUCCUUACGGGCACGAGCGCCGCUGCUGCCAACCUGUUCUCCUCACCCGAGUAUGUCGGACUGUGCAGUUUCUGCCCUGCUGCAGCAGCUGUCAGGCCGUUCAUCUCCCGUGUGCGGAGGACGCUUGCACACCCCUUUCACCCCUUCUUUGCGAGUUGAUUUCUGUCUCUGUGCAGUGGCUCACGCCAUCUCGCACACGUUUGAUUAAUUCAACGUUACAACAUACAACUCUUAGCAAUGGAUAUCUAGGUUCUC